UACGGGGGGGGCAAGCGUUGUUCGGAAUUACUGGGCGUAAAGGGCUCGUAGGCGGCCAACUAAGUCAGACGUGAAAUCCCUCAGCUUAACUGGGGAACUGCGUCUGAUACUGGAUGGCUUGGAUUCGGGAGAGGGAUGCGGAAUUCCAGGUGUAGCGGUGGAAUGCGUAGAUAUCUGGAGGAACACCGGUGGCGAAGGCGGCAUCCUGGACCGAUAUUGACGCUGAGGAGCGAAAGCUAGGGGAGCAAACGGG
rnacentral:rRNA from 1 species